AGGUUCUGGCAAGUGACUUGCUAGUUCUAGUGAAGACUUGGAUUAAGACUCCCAAGUUAGAGUGGUAUGUCCUCAUCAUUCGGGGACACGUUUUAGAAGCUUUAUGUUUUAUUCUACUUCUUUGUAUUAGACUCUUUCUAGACUUUUCAAGUGAAAAGGGCCGUGACCCUACUUAUGUUGGUUUUUCUAACAUUAUAUUAAGAUGGCCUUGUGAGACAAGUAGACUUCCGCUGCAAUGUUUUAAAUUUUUAGUAUGUUUUGAAUCGUAUGGUUUUGAAUAAAAAGUUUUAAUUCCGUACAAAUUCUAUUAUCG
rnacentral:lncRNA from 1 species